CAUACAUGAAGCAUCGUUUAUGGCCAGCCACAAAGCUCAGGCUAACGUUUCAGCCCAACCCAUACAUGAAGCAGCGUUUAUGGCAAGCCACAAAGCUCAGGCUAACCUUUUAGCCAAACCCAUACAUGAACCAGCGUUUGUGGCCAGUCACAAAGCUCAGGCUAAUCUUUCCGCCAAACCCAUGCAUGAACCAGCGUUUGUGGCUAGUCACAAAGCUCAGGCCAACGUUUCACCCAAACCCAUAUAUGAUACAGCGUUUGUGACCAGUCACAAAGCUCAGGCCAACGUUUCAGCCAAGCCCAUGCAUGAACCAGCGGUUGUGGCUAGUCACAAAGCUCAGGCCAACGUUUCACCCAAACCCAUACAUGAAGCAGCAUUUGUGGCUAGUCACAAAGCUCAGGCCAACGUUUCAGCCAAACCCAUACAUGAACCAGC
rnacentral:lncRNA from 1 species